ensembl:miRNA
GUAUUAGCUUGGUGCAAAUGUAAUUGCGGUUAGUGCUAUUACUUUUAAUGGUAAAAACUGCAAUUACUUUUGCACCAACUGAAUAU